AUACGGAGGGUGCAAGCGUUACUCGGAAUCACUGGGCGUAAAGCGCGCGCAGGCGGUCUUUUAAGUUGGAUGUGAAAGCCUACGGCUCAACCGUAGAACUGCAUCCAAAACUAUUAGACUAGAGUGUGGGAGAGGAAGAUGGAAUUAGUUGUGUAGGGGUAAAAUCCGUAGAGAUAACUAGGAAUACCAAAAGCGAAGGCAAUCUUCUGGAACACUACUGACGCCGAGGCGCGAAAGCGUGGGGAGCAAACAGGAUUAGAAACCCCUGUAGUCC
rnacentral:rRNA from 1 species